ACGGGUGAGUAACGCGUGGGAACGUGCCUUUCGGUUCGGAAUAACUCAGGGAAACUUGAGCUAAUACCGGAUACGCCCUUCGGGGGAAAGAUUUAUUGCCGAAAGAUCGGCCCGCGUCCGAUUAGCUAGUUGGUGAGGUAAUGGCUCACCAAGGCGACGAUCGGUAGCUGGUCUGAGAGGAUGAUCAGCCACACUGGGACUGAGACACGGCCCAGACUCCUACGGGAGGCAGCAGUGGGGAAUAUUGGACAAUGGGCGCAAGCCUGAUCCAGCCAUGCCGCGUGAGUGAUGAAGGCCCUAGGGUUGUAAAGCUCUUUCGCCAGGGACGAUAAUGACGGUACCUGGAUAAGAAGCCCCGGCUAACUUCGUGCCAGCAGCCGCGGUAAUACGAAGGGGGCUAGCGUUGUUCGGAAUCACUGGGCGUAAAGCGCACGUAGGCGGAUCUUUAAGUCAGGGGUGAAAUCCCGAGGCUCAACCUCGGAACUGCCUUUGAUACUGGAGGUCUAGAGUCCGGGAGAGGCGAGUGGAACUGCGAGU
rnacentral:rRNA from 1 species